GAAAGAGGCAGAUACAGGCAGAGGGAGAAGCAGGCUCCAUGCAGGGAGCCUGACGUGGGACUCCAUCCCGGGUCUCCAGGAUCACGCCCUGGGCCGAAGGCGGUGCUAAACCACUGAGCCACCCAGGCUGCCCUCCCUAAGGGUUUUUGUCUCUCUGCUAAAAUGUCCUGGAGGUGUGGGUGAUAUUAAAAAUAUGUAACAAUCCAGUAUUGCAGAGAACUGCACUGAUAAUCAAAUCAGAAACUGAUCUGAUUUCUACUGAUUUCUACUACCCAGAAUUGUGUGGACCGGUGUCUAUCAGCCCUGCCUGCGGGAGGCUUUUUAAAAUAACGACAUAAAAGGGACUGACCUGAAUUUUUAUGAGUAUUAAAAGAACAUCCAAAGCAGGAAUUACAAAAGCACACGGCACAGAGACGACGGCCUCUCACUAAUUUUCACCCUGUGCUCAUUGCUACUUAAUCUCAGGAUGCAUCCUGGCUCUCAUUUCAUUGUGGUCCAGCGGGGUCAGGUACCAGUUACUGGGGCCGGACUGGGCCGGUUAAGACCCUGAACAGAUCAAGCCAUCUCUGGGCUUCCGUGGCUUCUGUGAGGGGCUCAGAGCCCAGCUCCCUACACAGGGGCCCUUUCCCUGCUUCCAAAGGAGCAGGGGAUUCCCAUUCCCGACUUGGCAUGACUCUUCCUUCCUCUUCGCCUUCCCGUCGUCUCCAAUUCCUGUACUCCAAACUGACCUGACAUAACCACAGGGAACACAUACCUGACAUAUUUUCCCCUCCGAAGCACUUUCCUUGUGGGAAAGCUCUCUGCAAAGAAUGCCCGAAGAGAAGAGAAAAGACCAAGGCUGAGCUGCAUUCGUCAGCCGAUAAGGACCUUGGAAAUAACUCCGCCAGCUGCUCAUUUCCAAAAGUGGAAAGCCGAGACCCAGAAAACUGGAGUGGGUUGCCCAAAAACACCCAGAGCACUUUAACUAAAUUCUUCAGCGGCCUGAAGCAUGUGUACUUUCAGUCCUCUUCCCUGCCUGCACCUUGUAAACAUGUUUGGAACAGAUGGAGGCCUUCUUCGUCCACCGCCCUCAACCCCAGGCGCACACCUAGCCUCAGGGCCCGGAGCCCCAUACUCAAGGCAAAGCGCAGCUGCUCUGAUGGAAGCUGGAGGUAAGACCUCUCCCCACUGCGACCAGCCUUGAGGUCCCCGUCCUGAGGCGGCUGACCCUCAUCCCAAUGGAAGCUUGCCCAAAGUCAGCUAGAAAACCUCUGUGCUAGAUGUCCCUGAAAUCCCCGUCCUGGUCUCCUGCAUACUCCCAAAGCUUAGCCCUGUGAAGCAGGGGAGGGCGGGACCUCUAGUCCAAUUAUAUAAAUGAACUUACUUCAAGUCCUCAGUGGCACAUAAUGUACCCAAGUCGUCAGGCGACUCUAUUUUUCUUUCAAGUCUCGUCCCCUGGCAUGCCUCCAUGUGGAGACCAUGGACCCUAGCCAAAUAGAAAUACUGGGAGUUCCCCAAAUAUGCAUUUUCAGUCCCCCAUGCCCCUAUAAAUGCCCUUCCUGCUACCCAGAAAGCAGUUCAUUCUUUUGCCAGGCUAUGGCAUAUGCACAUUUGUUUUUAAACUGGGCUCAGUGGCACCUCUUCUCUGAAGACUGCCCCAAUCCCACACCCUUUUCAUUGCGUGUGUGAGGUGCUCUGGGGCUGCCUCUGCCAUAAUACGUCACAGUCAGGCUGGCUUAUCCCCUUGACUCUUCCACUAGAGGGCCAUGAAUCUUCUUUAUCUUUCCUGGAUGGUUCAGGGUAUUUUGUACACAGCAGAUAUUAAAAACCACGUAGUGAGUGAAUGGGUAAAGGAAUAGGGGCAUUGCCGGGACUGGGGUGCGGGCUUUCACAGGUACAACUUCAACAUCACAACAGCCAUGGAGUGAUUUCCAUCUUGCUCUCUUUGGUGUGGCUUCAUUUCCUCCUUCAUGGUAUUUCUUAACAUUCAGCUCCAAGGAGCAAAGACAUUUUAAGUGCGAGGCUGUCCUCAGCUUGUUUAAUACAACCAGCUGCAUCUGCCAACCAUGGAUCAGUGUGGUCAAAACUGAAAACCCACAGGACAAGAACCCCCCAGGGAAGUCAUUCAGCAUAUGUCACAAAGAGAGAUUUAUCUAUUGGUCCCCUGCUAUGUGAC
rnacentral:lncRNA from 1 species